AUCAAGUAAAUUUAACUGUCCGCAGAUCGCAAGGGUUUACUUAUCAGUUAAAUUAACUUGAUACUUACCAAAAGGUGGAACAACCGGGCCAAAGUCAAACCUGCAAAACGUAGAACAACUGCGGGCCAAGGUCUGCAAAAGUUGGCAAAAGGUUCGAUCACAAACAAAUGCCUCUGCCAAUCAUUAUGUUAAUCUUUAAAAUGAUGGAAAGAAUGAUCACUUGUUAAAAGUGAAUGGAAAAAUUGUUGAGAGAGCACAUGUUAAUGCAAGUUGCUGUAAAUAUUCACAGCAAAGAUUAAGAUUAUUGAAACAUAUAUUUUAUGUCGAUGCAAUAUUUCGUACAUGCUAUACAGACAAUAAAUACUGCAUAUGCCGUUACACAUCAAAUAGCUAGUUUAUUUUUAUUGACAAAAAAUGUUCGGUGACAGCAUUGAUGCAAUAUUGAAUACAUAGGAAUGAUUUGCUAUUCUCUAUCAUCAUGAUGGCGAAGUAGGUUUCGUGCAUUGAAUUCGGGCAAAGAUAUGCCUAUAAGAGGCACAGAGAGUGUGUCGGAUGGAUUGGUAUCUAUGUUAAAAGUGUAUAAUACAGCUAUUGAGACUGUCUCCAAAAUGGGUAAAAAUGAAGGACCGAUUACUGUAUAUUUAUGCUGAUAUCUUUGAAUUCUUGGAUCUCAAAAGAAGUGCGAGGAGCAGUUUUGAGAACAUAUGUUAUAGGUUGUGGACUCCACAUUUCAAUGAAGUUUUCAUCAUGAAACGCGUUUGUGAUGAUGUAUCUAAUCUAAUUUGUCCGCAUGAGUGCCCUGUAUUAAUUGAAACUUGGGGUGAUGAAUUUGAAGCUUUGUGUACCAGAUAUAAAAAAAAGGAUAGGUUCUCGAAGACAAGUUAAAGCCAAGGAAUUGAUGAGGUUUCUCAUCAUUCAAAUACAAUUUGAAACAGGAGUACCAUAUAUGCAGUUUUUAAAGUUGUAAUCGCAAAUUAAAUCGUCAGAAUCUGGGUACAAUUGAAUACAACAGUUUCUCUACUGAAGUACUUCCAAUAAAGUUGUCAUGUGUAACAUAUGGCUUCAAUCGCUGUCAACAUGUUUAUGAAUUCUACUUUCUAAAGUUCUCAUAGAGAACUUUGAUUUUUAUAAACUUAACAAAGUAGCAAAAAUCGUCACCUACAAUUGGGAUAAAAUGAUUGGUAUUAAUUUUUAUUCUCUGCCAGAGGUGAAAUUGUUAUAUGAUACACACAGGUCUAUCGGAUUAGCAGAUGCAUUGAUUUCAAUGAGAUACUCAUUUGAAAGUAACAAAGCUAAGGAACUCAACGUCCACAUUUUUGAGACUUUAUUAUGGCGCUCUAGAAACAAGUUGCGAAAUGGUUACUGAAAAGGUCCUGAUGAGUCAUAUGAAGGCAAUCCAGUCAGUAAAUGUAAGCACUCUCCGAGAAUAAACAUUUUCAGAUACAAAGUGGUACGGAGUCCGUCACGAUAUGAUUGAAGCCAUUUGUCGGUAACGCUAAACAACG